rnacentral:rRNA from 1 species
UCCUUAAGUCAGUGGUGAAAUCCUGCCGCUUAACGGUAGAAAUUGCCCAUGAUACUGAAGAGCUUGAGUACAAUUGAGGUAAGCGGAAUGUGUAGUGUAGCGGUGAAAUGCUUAGAUAUUACACAGAACACCAAUUGCGAAAGGCAGCUUACUAAACUGUUACUGACGCUGAUGCACGAAAGCGUGGGGAGCGAACAGGAUUAGAUACCCUGGUAGUCCACGCCGUAAACGAUGCUCACUCGCUGUAUGCGAUACACAGUAUGCGGCCAAGCGAAAGCAUUAAGUGAGCCACCUGGGGAGUACGAUCGCAAGGUUGAAACUCAAAGGAAUUGACGGGGGCCCGCACAAGCGGAGGAACAUGUGGUUUAAUUCGAUGAUACGCGAGGAACCUUACCUGGGCUUAAAUGUAGAGCGACAGCUUGUGAAAGCAGGCUUUCUUCGGACGAUCUACAAGGUGCUGCAUGGUUGUCGUCAGCUCGUGCCGUGAGGUGUCGGGUUAAGUCCCAUAACGAGCGCAACCCUUAUCGUUAGUUGCCAGCGGGUCAAGCCGGGGACUCUAGCGAGACUGCCACCGUAAGGUGUGAGGAAGGUGGGGAUGACGUCAAAUCAGCACGGCCCUUAUGUCCAGGGCUACACACGUGUUACAAUGGCCGAUACAAAGGGCAGCUACCAGGUGACUGGAUGCUAAUCUCUAAAGUCGGUCUCAGUUCGGAUCGAAGUCUGCAACCCGACUUCGUGAAGCUGGAUUCGCUAGUAAUCGCAUAUCAGCCAUGAUGCGGUGAAUACGUUCCCGGGCCUUGUACACACCGCCCGUCAAACAAUGGAAGCUGGGGGUACCUGAAGUCUGUAACCGSGAGGAGCGGCCUAGGGUAAAACUAGUAACUGGUGUUAAGUSGUAACAAGGUAGC